ACGUAGGUGGCAAGCGUUGUCCGGAAUUACUGGGUGUAAAGGGAGCGCAGGCGGGUUUGCAAGUUGGAUGUCUAAUCGAGGGGCUCAACCCCUUUCCGCAUUCAAAACUGCAGAUCUUGAGUGGUGCAGAGGUAGGCGGAAUUCCCGGUGUAGCGGUGGAAUGCGUAGAUAUCGGGAGGAACACCAGUGGCGAAGGCGGCCUACUGGGCACUAACUGACGCUGAGGCUCGAAAGCAUGGGUAGCAAACAGGAUUAGAUACCCUGGUAGUCCAUGCCGUAAACGAUGAUUACUAGGUGUGGGGGGAUUGACCCCCUCCGUGCCGCAGUUAACACAAUAAGUAAUCCACCUGGGGAGUACGACCGCAAGGUUG
rnacentral:rRNA from 1 species